AUACCUUUCUCGGCCUUUUGGCUAAGAUCAAGUGUAGUAUCUGUUCUUAUCAGUUUAAUAUCUGAUACGUGGGUCAUUGGCCCACAUGAUAUUAAAUUAAUUUUUUGAGGGGGAGGGUUCAUUACAGUAGCUUGCUACUGGAACUCUCAAGCGUCGCCCAUGCGUUGCACUAAAGCAAGGGCCUGGCGCUCCCCAC